ACGGGUGCGUAACGCGUGGGAAUCUGCCCUUAGGUUCGGAAUAACAGCUGGAAACGGCUGCUAAUACCGGAUGAUGACGAAAGUCCAAAGAUUUAUUGCCUGAGGAUGAGCCCGCGUUGGAUUAGGUAGUUGGUGGGGUAAAGGCCUACCAAGCCGACGAUCCAUAGCUGGUCUGAGAGGAUGAUCAGCCACACUGGGACUGAGACACGGCCCAGACUCCUACGGGAGGCAGCAGUGGGGAAUAUUGGACAAUGGGCGAAAGCCUGAUCCAGCAAUGCCGCGUGAGUGAUGAAGGCCCUAGGGUUGUAAAGCUCUUUUACCCGGGAAGAUAAUGACUGUACCGGGAGAAUAAGCCCCGGCUAACUCCGUGCCAGCAGCCGCGGUAAUACGGAGGGGGCUAGCGUUGUUCGGAAUUACUGGGCGUAAAGCGCACGUAGGCGGCUUUGUAAGUCAGAGGUGAAGGCCUGGAGCUCAACUCCAGAACUGCCUUUGAGACUGCAUCGCUUGAAUCCAGGAGAGGUCAGUGGAAUUCCGAGUGUAGAGGUGAAAUUCGUAGA
rnacentral:rRNA from 1 species